UCGGGUGUGGUGCACGGUACACAUUGGUUACCAAUGCAUUCGGCGAGUUUCUAGCGUCGGCCGCAGACCGGGGUUCGACUCCCCGCGCCCGAA